GCCAGCCGCUAGCCCAGAAAACAACGCAAAACAAAACUUACAUGAAACAAACCAUUUGCUUCGCCCCGUAUAGGUGAUAGAACAGCACUAAACAUGACGCAACAGCCCUAGUACUGUAAAGGAACGCUGAAAAAUAUUCAAAACUAAAGCAAGAAAAAGCAGCGAUUAAACCUCGUACCUUUUGCAUCAUGGUUUUGCAAGACUCCACAGCUAAAAUGAAUUUUUUAACCUGCCCACCCGAAACCAGACGAGCUACCCAAGAGCAACUAUUUGAGUGAACCCGUCCCUGUGACAAAAGGGUGGGAUGACUUCUGGGUAGAGGUGACAUGCCAAUCGAGCCUGGAGAUAGCUGGUUGCCCGUUAAAUGAAUACAAGUUCACCUCUAAUGCACCCAAGUAACACCAAUAAUAUUUAUAAAUUAGAAGCGAGACAUUAAGGGGACAGCCUUAAUGUUACUGGAAAAGCCAGUACUAGAGGGAACACCUUCCACCCAUAUAAGUAGGCCCUCAAGCAGCCAACAAAGGAGAUCGCGUCAAAGCGAGUCAAAAACAAUCCCACCUUUUACCACACCCCCCUAUCACAAACCGAGCCACCCCAUAAUAAAUGGGGGAACCACUGCUAAAACUAGUAAUAAGAACUGAUUCUCUAAUCACCACUGUAAACAUCUAAAACAAUUAAUAAUUUCCCAUAUAAUCAAACUAGAAAUCAUAUUUUUCUCCCCCUAUAAAACCAACACAGGCGUGAACUAAAGAUGAUUAAAAACCGCAAAAGGAAUUCAGCUAAUAUGCCCCACCUGUUUACCAAAAACAUCGCCUUUAGCCUUACAAGUAUUAAAGGUCUCGCCUGCCCAGUGAAAACUUUAACGGCCGCGGUAUCCUAACCGUGCGAAGGUAGCGUAAUCACUUGUUCUUUAAAUGGGGACUAGUAUGAACGGCUGCAUGAGGGCCUAACUGUCUCCUGCGAUCAAUCAAUGAACCUGAUCUUUCAGUACAAAAGCUGAAAUAAACACAUAAGACGAGAAGACCCUGUGGAGCUUUAAACAAACCCUAAUUCACAACACCCUCCCCCUCCCGGGGACUAAAACCCCGUAAUUAGCAACGUUUUAAGUUGGGGCGACUGCGGGGAAAAACAAAACCCCCAUGCAACUAAGUACUACAAGUAGACACACUGACAGUAAUAAAUUUGACCCAGCACAGCUGACUAACGAACCAAGUUACCCCAGGGAUAACAGCGCAAUCCCCUUCAAGAGUCCUUAUCGCCAAGGGGGUUUACGACCUCGAUGUUGGAUCAGGACAUCCAAAUGGUGUAGCCGCUAUUAAGGGUUCGUUUGUUCAACGAUUAACAGUCCUACGUGAUCUGAGUUCAGACCGGAGAAAUCCAGGUCGGUUUCUAUCUAUGCCUCCCUUCUUCAGUACGAAAGGAUCAAGAAGAUGGUGCCUCUACUUACAGGCACGCACCAUACACGUCUGCUGAAAACAACUAAAACUAGACAUUUUACUCACCCUCCCCCAAAACAAGGGGCUAACAGCAUUACCUU
rnacentral:rRNA from 1 species